rnacentral:lncRNA from 10 species
AUUUGUAACCACGUUAAUCUGAUUGAUGACCAAAGAAGGCAGCUAUAAUGUUUUAUUCUCAAGAUGAUGGUUACUCAUCUUAGAAUAAAAACAACAACAACAAAAAAUAACAGAUGAAUGGGAAGAGCCCAAUCAAAGCUUUAUUCUACUCCUCAACAACUCAGAAAGAGCAAGCAGGCAGCGGUGAGGAGGAUGGAUUGAAAGCUGAGAGACUGAAGGCAGCAUUUGUAGAGGUGACUUGGGAAGAGUGAAACAUGAAAGGAAGUGGAGCAGGAGGUCUUGGUGACUGAUUAGGUGGAGGAAGAAAGGGAGAAGGUCAGAUCGAGAUCAUUCCCAGGUCUCUGGCUUGGAGGUGUAGUGAGAGGAUGAUAUGCCUGUCAGGGAAAACAGGUGUUAUAGUAUUUAAUAGAUAUCUGCUGUUUCUGCACGCACAGCAUCUCCUAUCUCUUCUUUUCAAUAUUUCCUUUUAAAAACUACCCCUUCCCUGCUCUCAGGUUAUAUGGUUUAGAAGAGUUUUGCUGACUAGUCUCCCAUGUACUUCCUUCACUCCCAUACACUCCUUCCCACCUGCCGUCACACAUACCACUCUCCCCUUCCAAAAGCCUCCAGGACUGGGCUCAUAAUCAAAGCUGAGUCAAGUGGCAUGGUCCAAAUCUCCGGCCAUAGGGUCUGGUUCAAGCAUAUGCAUGUGAUCAAAGUGGUCUAAUUAAAGUUAAUCCUGAAUUCUCUUUUUCUCAGGAGUUAAGCCUAAAGCUGCAGAUGAAAAUUUUGCCACCAUGAAGAAAAGAAGAAAUCAGAAUUGGAUUCUUUCUGAACUUUUCCUUUACAGUAGCCAGUAUAUGCCCUUUCCUACUUGAGCAAGUAUAAACUGGGUUUCUGUGAUUUGCAACCAAGUGUCCUGACAAACACAAGGAUGAAAGACAACUGUGUCUCAAUAAAGGAAAAAUAGUUUAUUUUUAUGAGUGGUGGAUUUAAAAAACCUACAUUACUGUGACAAGAGUACCUUAAAACAUUUAAGUCUACAAAAGGCACUUAGGGACUUUAUAGCAAACUCUACACUUAUAAUGAAAAGCCAGACCAGAUCAUUUUAAAAAAACGUUACUGCACGAGAUAAUGGCACAUCCACUCGUUCAAUUAACAUUUAUUGAGUGUCUUCAGGGGUUUUAGACUUGUGCAAUAAAAAUGAUAAAAACGUAUUCUUUGGUUUGAGCUGGUCCAUCCAAGGUCGUUCCAUAAAGAGCAGCUGUGUAUGCUGUUCAGACUAAUUGUGUGAAGCUGGAGAGGCCAGGUGUUUCUGUCUGGCCCAGCAGCUGCACUUUGCGGUAAGGGCACCACCUGAAUUUCAGUCUGGCCAUAAAAUGAGGCUGAAGAAACAGCACCUUGCAUGAGCUUUUAGGUGAAAGGCAGAACAG